GUCUUUUAAAUAUGGGAUUAUCUGGUUCGUUUACUGGGAGAUCAAAUAUCAUGUUCUCGAUGUAGUUCCAGUAGGAUCUUCUCAUAUCUGUUUGAAUUGAUUUUUUGAGAUGCUUGUACUUUUUCUUCAGUUGUUCAUUUUUUCUACUCUUUUUAUGAAGUCGUUUUGCUUUGUUGAUAUCAAUUUUAAGCUUGUUGUUAACCCAUGGUAGUUUUUUCUUGUUUGUAACUAUUUUGUGAGGGAUAUUAGCUUCUACU
rnacentral:lncRNA from 1 species